UUUCGACCUGAGGUCAGGCAAGAACACCCGCUGAACUUAAGCAUAUCAAUAAGCGGAGGAAAAGAAACUAACUAGGAUUCCC
rnacentral:rRNA from 2 species